rnacentral:rRNA from 1 species
CCUACGGGAGGCAGCAGUGGGGAAUAUUGCACAAUGGGCGAAAGCCUGAUGCAGCAACGCCGCGUGAGCGAUGAAGGCCUUCGGGUCGUAAAGCUCUGUCCUAUGGGAAGAUAAUGACGGUACCAUAGGAGGAAGCCCCGGCUAACUACGUGCCAGCAGCCGCGGUAAUA